UUUGUUUUGUUUUGCUUUUUUUAGGGCUGUACACAUGGCAUAUGGAAGUUCCCAAGCUAGGGGUCUAUUGGACCUGCAUCUUCUGGCCUGUGCCACAGCCACAGCCACACCAGAUCUGAGCCCCAUCUGCGACCUAUACCACAGUUCACAGAAACGCCAGAUCCUUUAGCCUUCUGAGGGGGGCCAGGGAUCGAACCCUCAUCCUUAUGGAUACUAGUUGGGUUCAUUUACAGUGAGCAACAAUGGGAACUCCAAAUUUAUGUAUAUUUUUGAUACCUACUAGUGAGCAACCCUCCAAAUGAACAAUUCUCAUAAAUUAACAUAUAAGUGCUAUUUUCCAUUGUUGAAAUCAGACCUGUUUUUCUUUAACUGUCUUGUAUUCGUAAAUGUGAAUUAAGUUAAUGAUUAGGAUUCAAUGAGUAAAGGCUGAGUGGUUGGGUUGCUGAAUGAUGGGUUAUGCCGCCUUCUCUCAUGGUCACUGUGAACAAGUGAUAUACACAGUAACAUGCAGCGAAGCAUAUGGGCUCCACUAUGAUAUCACAGCUAUGCAUCAUAUUGACCUUUUUUGACACACAUUAUUUUGAUGCCUGAGGACUUAAUAGAGGGUAGACAUAAGCUAUUUUUUUCAAUUAGCUUUUUGAUAGUCUCAUUUGAAAUGAACUAACAUUGUCAAAGUUAUGGCAAGUCAACCCAUUACCUGACUGUUCCAGAUAAUAAAAGGAUUUCAGAAAGUUAAAUGUCCCAAGGUAGAGCUGGUGUUCAACAAGCUUAUUUGAUAAGAACUAUUGAAACACUGAAUGUAUAAUGAAUUUGAAACAUGGAAAAUCACCUUUAAUUGACUGACAGCCUCUGAAGUAAACCAACAUUUCUGUUAUCUCCUGAGCCUAAUCUUUUGACUUAGUUACCCUGCCAAAGUUGUAAGUGCUUGCUGCUGUUCAUGAUGACUAAAUCUCUCCUUAAUCCUCGGGGGCCUUCCUUUUACUCUGAUAGUGAAGGACCUUGGCAGUCUCACUAAAUGGCUCUUUUCAAGAUUCAUCUGCUUUUCCCUCCUCCACAGAUCCUUUGCUCCCACGUUGGUGAUCCCACUGUCUCAGCUUCACUUUGAAGCCAUUCCUAAUAAUAUUUCCAAUGGAUCUGUCUGUAGGUGGAUUCCCCUUCUCAUAUAUAAAUGUAUAAACCUGUAGUUCAAGGUGUAUCUAAUUGAGGCCUCCUCCAUGGUGCCUUGCCUGCUCACCAGCAGGAAGCAAUUUCUUCAUUCUCUGAAAUCUCAGCACAUGUUUAUGUGUGAGCAUCAUCUAUUUGACAGCUGAUCAAAUGCAUUAUUACUUUGUAAUGGUAAUUCUCUCUCCAUGCACAAAUAUGUGUGUAUUCUUGUAUGUGUAAACUCCUGGAAGACAUUUAUAGUUCCUUGUUAGCAGGGGCUAUCUUGUAUUCAUACAAUUCAUCUUCAUAGGGUUUUGAAUAUUUUUUAUCUUUGCAAUUCAUCUUCAUAGUUUUUGAAUAUGUUUAAGCUUUGCAACAUGGCUUUGCAAUUUAAGUAGUUGUUGUCUGCACUUAACUUAUUCCAAACGCAUUGUUCCUCUUUACUUUUGCUGUCUCUUGGGGGGCUGAGGAAGAGGCUGUGUUUCACAUCACAUUUGGCCCUUUCUGACUUUGAUCCAUCCAGGGUGGGGCUCCAUUCAUUCAGAAAGUUUCCUAUAGCCUUUAAACAAUAGAAGAUGGCUGACACCAUUCUCGUCAUGUUUUGCAUGAUAUUGCUUGUCAUUCCUUGAAAAAUAUUUAAAUGGGAGAACACCUGGCAGCCUAAAGUUGGUUAGCUAUUUAGAGGGAUUAAAAGAUAAGAAAGAAAGAAAGGCGGACAGACAGACACGUGGUGGCUGUUCCUGCCAGGGAUUGCUACAGAGAAAAUGAAGUUAGUGGAUUAUCCAACAGCUGGAGAAUCUGCUAACCUUCCAGCUCUAAUGAGUGAUGCAGUCUCCAGUAUACACAGCUCCUCUCACAUCUGUCAGCACUCUGGGUUUUCAAAGCAUUUUCCCAUGAUCUCAGAUUCCCUCACUGCAGCCUUAUGAGUAGGAAGAAAGCAGAAAUUGUCCCAAUUUUUAUAUUAUCUCUAUCAAACAAUGUUUUCCGUUUCUAAAAUCUCUUCUCUCAUCAGAAAUGGGGCUUUUUUCCCCUUUGAAACCUUGCCUUGUGAAGUCCUGUAAGUCAGAAAUACACCCAUUGUGGCUCCUGAAAGCCUUCAACUGAUUGGCUUGCCUCUCAGACCCUCUCCUGCUGUGUGCUUCUUUUCAACAACAAAUAAGUGUCAGACAAUUAGAGAUGGGACUGGAGAUGUGUAAAUUGUACUGUCGCCUCAACAAAUUAGUAAUUUCGUGAUAAUACACUGUCCUUGUAAUGUGGUUAGAGUUACCAGAGUUACCUGCCUCGAUUUGUGCUCAAAGGCCAUGGGUAAGAUUGAUGAAGAUCCUGUGUGGUGAUUCAUUUUCCUUCUUGAUACUCUCCCCUCCUCAUCCAAGAAAUGAGACGUUAACCUGCCUCUGGGAGCUGAACAGAGUUUCUCCCUGGCCUCCGGUGCUAAAGGCACCCUCUUUACAUUCCUGGCUGGACGGUAUUGCACUGCCUGUGUUGAAAGGGUGAGAGAGCGAAGGGGUGAUGCAGUGAAGGGAACACAAGUUUCAUGCCUCUUGCUCCAGCUUUCUUUUAUUCGGCCGUAGGGUCCUUAAUGAGAGUCAGUUCAAAACAUCUCAGAGCUACUGCUUUACCUUGAAAGCUUACCGAUAGAAACGGUCAGUAUCUUGGACUUUGUCCUUCCUUCAUACGUAGACAUGGGGAUGAUUCUUCCACCGAGUUGAUGGUUCUCAGCCUUGACCUUUCCACAGAGGAAUCUGUGCAUUUUUGUAAGUCUCACUACCUCUCUGGCUGGUUUUCUGAAGAGGGAGAGAACAGAAGUGGAACCAUUUGCCCUGGAACAUCCCAGUUAAACUGCACAUACUAGCCUGUUACACUUUACUAAUGAGCUAGUGUUAGGAGUGGGGUUUAGUUAGUUGCAAGGUCAUCGACAAAUUAUUUGUUACCCAGGUAUAAUCUCCUAGACCUUUAUGAUAAGGCUGCAUACCAUAACCAUCAGAAAUCUACCACAAAUUGAUUCCAUUACAGUCCCCUAAGAACAGUUAAGGUUCAGGCAUAGCCAAGGGGAUUUUAAACAGGAAGGGAGAGGGAAACUUAACUUUUAAAAUAUUAAGAUAUUAGGUAAUUUUAGUAAUAAAAGCACUGUGGUUGUCGUGUAGAGGGAACCAGUACCCAUGCAGAGAGGAAAAGAGCAUGAAGAGACUGACUUAGGCAUCUGUGGGGAAAUGGAAUAUGAUUGGCGUAGUGACAGGUCAGGGGGAAGUGAAUUGAUGGCCAAAGAACAGUAAGAGCUGACUAAAUAGACCACAUGCUGAAUUUUAAACUCAUGGCAGAUAUCAGAAAUAAAAGAGAACUAUCUAGAUGCCAGAAAUGAAGAAGGAACUCAAAUCUAAGGAGAUUAGAUGCUGGUACCACAGAGGUCAAUGGAUGCCCUAUUAGGGAUGAAGGCCUAUCCUUGGGUGGGUGUCAAAGCUCCCUCUGAAGGGGAAGUUGAAGUGAGGCUCACUACAUAAAUUUUAGUAGUGGCCAUUGGCCUUUGAACAUAUCAUACAAUCAGGCCAUGUGCCUGAGGCCAAGAGAGGAAAAUAAGUCACUUUUGUUACAAAUACAAUUUAUUAUCUCCCUGGAGUCAAAUUUUGAAACUGAUGCACAACAAUGAAUCCACAACCCUGGACAAGCAUCAUAUUCUCUAGCAAGAUAUUUCCCAGUAGAGAGAAGGUCACAAACAAAAAUUAUAAAAACAUGAGCGAGCCCACUGUUAUGGGCAAAAAUAAUAGAGUCGAUGAACAGGGAAAUUUAUAAGCAAGGACCAGAUAUAAAAGGACAUGAAAAGGAAAAUUAAAAAUUAUAUGUCUAAUUUUUAUUGAGAUGAAGAGGAGUCUGUUAACAGGAAUAGGAUAUGAAAACACAGGCAUAUUUUUUAAAAAUUCAAGUGAUACGAAGUCUACCCAUUGAUCCCUGUGUUUGUGAGUCUGUGUUUUGUAGAUAGGUUCAGUUGUGCCAUAUUUCAGAUUCCAUGUGUAAGUGAUAUCACAUGGUAUUCACCUUUCUGAUUUACUUCACUUAGUUUAAGAAUCUCUAGUUGCAUCCAUAUUGCUGCAGAUGCCAUUAUUUCAUUAUUUUUUAUGGCUGAGUAGUUGUCAUUUGUGUUUAUGGGAUGGAUGGGGAGUUUGGGGUUAGUAGAUGCAAACUAUUAUAUUUAAAAUGAGGUGCUGCUCUAAAGCACACGUAACUGUAUCCAAUCUUGGGAUAGAACAUGAUGGAAGAUCAUGUGAGAAAAAGAAUGUAUAUAUAAAUACAUAUAGACAUAUGAAUAUAUAUGACUGGAUCACUCUAUGUACAGCAGAAAUUGACACAACAUUGUAAAUCAGCUAUACCUUACUAAAAAAGUAAAUAUAAAAUUAAAAGGAGCAACUAAAUAAGUAAAAUUUGCGACCCCUCCCAGAAGAAAAUAAAGGUAUCUAUCCAUUGAAAUUAAAACAGAUAACAACUCUAUACGGGUUAAAUGGGAAAAAGUUCACAGUUGAACAGAAAGUGAAUAAGAUCUGAGAAAAUCCUCAACAAUGUGACCCCAAAAAUGAAGAGAUGGAGGGACUGAGAAGGACAUCAAAGGUAUAGCGGAUGAUCUAGGAAACUCUAAAAAUAUUUCUAGUGGUUAAAAAAAAAAGUUAAGUGAAGAAAUAUUUGAAGAGAUAAUG
rnacentral:lncRNA from 1 species